rnacentral:rRNA from 1 species
AGUGAACGCUGGCGGCAGGCCUAACACAUGCAAGUCGAACGGCAGCACAAGAGAGCUUGCUCUCUGGGUGGCGAGUGGCGGACGGGUGAGGAAUGCAUCGGAAUCUGCCCAUUUGUGGGGGAUAACCUCGGGAAACCGGGACUAAUACCGCAUACGACCUACGGGUGAAAGCAGGGGAUCUUCGGACCUUGCGCAGAUGGAUGAGCCGAUGCCGGAUUAGCUAGUUGGAGGGGUAAAGGCCCACCAAGGCGACAAUCCGUAGCUGGUCUGAGAGGAUGAUCAGCCACACUGGGACUGAGACACGGCCCAGACUCCUACGGGAGGCAGCAGUGGGGAAUAUUGGACAAUGGGCGCAAGCCUGAUCCAGCCAUGCCGCGUGUGUGAAGAAGGCCUUCGGGUUGUAAAGCACUUUUGUUGGGAAAGAAAAGCAGCCGGUUAAUACCCGGUUGUCAUGACGGUACCCAAAGAAUAAGCACCGGCUAACUUCGUG